AUUUACACUCUUGGCCAUGGUUGAGGCAGGACACAAGGAGCUCCUUACAGCUGUUCUCUGCUCUUCACAUGCUCUAUUUGACAUAGCAAGAUGGGCAAGAUGCUUCCAGGCUUCAAGCAAUGAAGUCCUGUUGUUAGAAGCAUGUUCCAGCACAUGCCUGAAGCAAGCACCUUGAGGCUCACCUGAAGCAUUCCUGAUAGCAUGCCUUACUAUCAGUGCUCCUCAGAUGGGGAGUAUUGAAGGAGGAAUAAGGAUGCCAUCCAAAGUGUGAAUGAUGCCAUUUGAAGCAACAAUAUCUCUUUUAUGUAAAGGAACUCCCUUGCCACCCAACAGAAUCUGGCCCUGUGAAGAGACAGAGGAGAAUUUUAUUCAAUCAAAUUCAUGCUUUAAUCAGGAUGACAUUACUUAGUGAUAAUUUCUAGAUUCUUACCCAACUCAUUAUGUUGUAGCAUUUCUCUAACCUGAAUUUUUCAACAAAAGUAUUAUUGUGCCCCAAUUGCCUAAUGUUUUUAUUUUCUUCAUUUCAAAAAGAUUCUCACUGUUCUUUAUGCUCCAGAAAUAAUAUUUGACAUUGUCCUGAUGAUCAAUAAAAUUUAAGAAUAGUAAAAUUCAGCUAUCCAGUCAUAGCUAAAGAAUCACCUGCAAUUGUUUCUUUUCCCAUUCCCACACUGUUACCUAUGGUGGCCAUGCAAGGACCUAUCCUUGGUGCUUCUAUUUCUCACUUACAUGCCAUCUCUCAGCAAAAUCAUUCAAAAACACAGUAUCAUUUUCUACACAUAUGCUCAAACCCUACCUCACCAUCAUGACUCUAGAGAUCUCCAAAUUGUCAUAUUGCUUGUCCAAUAUUCAGUGCUAUGAACAGAUGAACAGAGAUUUCUUCCAAUUAAAAAUUGGAAAUAACAAAGCCAUUAUCUUUGGUUCCCAUUCUAAAACUCCAUUCUUUAACCAACUCCAUCUCUCUCCUUGACCACUGUCUGUGGCUGACCUUGGGGAUCAUACUUGACCUGAGAUGAGCUUCCGACCACACAUCCAUGCCAUCACUAAGACUACCUAUUUCCACCUCUGUAACGUCACCUAACUUUGCCUCUGCUUCCAUUCACAUUCUGCUGAAAUCCUCAUACGUAUCUUUGUUACUUCUAAAUUUGACUCAUCCAAUGCACUUCUGGUUAGCCUCCCAUCUUCUAUCCUCUUAAACUUGAGGUCAUACAAAUCUCUGCUGCUCAUAUUUCAAUGCACACCAAGUCCCAUUCACCUAUCACCCAACUUAUACUGGCUCCCAGUUCAACAAUGCCUGUGCCAAUUGAACUUAUUUAAAAAAAUAAGCUUACAUUUCUGAUAUUUUGUAAUUAUAUCUUCAAAACUGCAUUAGAAUUACAAAUUUGUUUAUUUUAGUGAAUAAUUUUUCAAUGGCAAAAUUAAACUUGUGAAAACUACCACGCAAUAUUACAUAAUAUGGACAUUCAUUAUAAAAGAUAGAACCUUUAGAUAAAAAGUGCCUAUAUCAUUAGAAAAUCUUUGCAUUAUCCUUAUACAUUAAAGUUGGCAGAUGGUGCUGGUUGUGUAAACCAGAAUGCUGUAGCAAUUUGUGUUAAAUAAAUGCAUUCACAAUGGUGAAAUUACCUCAGAAAGGAAGUCUUACAUCCACAAAGUGCCUUACAUGAAAUAUCACAAAGUGAUUCACAUAAAUCAGUUUUGAAGAAUACUUAAAGAAAUAAAUAUUCUUAUUGCUUUUAGAUAAGCAAAGUCAAGUGAGGUUUAUAACUAUUACAUGUAACAGCAUUUGAAAAUCAAAAACACGUUUCCUGCAAUUGGUGGUCUUUUUUUUAUGACCAUAUGAAUAAAUUAUUUUUCUUGGCUUUGUCUG